GUGCGGUGCGGCUGCUAUACAUGCAGUCGAGCGGACAGAAGGGAGCUUGCUCCCGGAUGUUAGCGGCGGACGGGUGAGUAACACGUGGGUAACCUGCCUGUAAGACUGGGAUAACUCCGGGAAACCGGAGCUAAUACCGGAUAGUUCCUUGAACCGCAUGGUUCAAGGAUGAAAGACGGUUUCGGCUGUCACUUACAGAUGGACCCGCGGCGCAUUAGCUAGUUGGUGGGGUAAUGGCUCACCAAGGCGACGAUGCGUAGCCGACCUGAGAGGGUGAUCGGCCACACUGGGACUGAGACACGGCCCAGACUCCUACGGGAGGCAGCAGUAGGGAAUCUUCCGCAAUGGACGAAAGUCUGACGGAGCAACGCCGCGUGAGUGAUGAAGGUUUUCGGAUCGUAAAGCUCUGUUGUUAGGGAAGAACAAGUGCGAGAGUAACUGCUCGCACCUUGACGGUACCUAACCAGAAAGCCACGGCUAACUACGUGCCAGCAGCCGCGGUAAUACGUAGGUGGCAAGCGUUGUCCGGAAUUAUUGGGCGUAAAGGGCUCGCAGGCGGUUUCUUAAGUCUGAUGUGAAAGCCCCCGGCUCAACCGGGGAGGGUCAUUGGAAACUGGGAAACUUGAGUGCAGAAGAGGAGAGUGGAAUUCCACGUGUAGCGGUGAAAUGCGUAGAGAUGUGGAGGAACACCAGUGGCGAAGGCGACUCUCUGGUCUGUAACUGACGCUGAGGAGCGAAAGCGUGGGGAGCGAACAGGAUUAGAUACCCUGGUAGUCCACGCCGUAAACGAUGAGUGCUAAGUGUUAGGGGGUUUCCGCCCCUUAGUGCUGCAGCUAACGCAUUAAGCACUCCGCCUGGGGAGUACGGUCGCAAGACUGAAACUCAAAGGAAUUGACGGGGCCCGCACAAGCGGUGGGAGCAUGUGGUUUAAUUC
rnacentral:rRNA from 2 species